AAAUAAUCAAUUAAAAAAGAAAAAAAGAAAGAAAAAAAAAAAGGGCUUUCUCCGGAGGAAAUAUCAGCUCUUCUCAAUUUACAAUGGUCAAUUGAUCUCGCAGGAUAUCUCAUUUAUGGUCUCUUCAGAAUGCGUCUCUAUGGCAGAUAUUGCUUGCAUUAGGUUGGGGAAUUAAUGGUUCGACGCCAAUCAUAGCACAAUCUUAAUUUAUGAGUGCCCCACUAUCAGAUCUUCUGCGGUGCUUGGUGCAUCAGCACAAGUAUCAUGGGUAUUUAAACUAUAUUAUCAAGUUCUAGGAUCUCAUAUUAAUGCCGCCCACGUUGCAAAGUUUUGCGGGGGCCCCAUAGAGCACCGCCUUCUUUUCACCGUAUGGUUUGCUUAUUAGAAUAG
rnacentral:misc_RNA from 1 species